UACGUAGGUGGCAAGCGUUGUCCGGAAUCAUUGGGCGUAAAGAGCGCGUAGGUGGCUUGUCAGGUCUGAUGUGAAAUCCUGGGGCUCAACCCCAGGCCUGCAUCGGAAACCGGCUUGCUCGAGUCUGGGAGAGGAGAGUGGAAUUCCUGGUGUAGCGGUGAAAUGCGUAGAUAUCAGGAGGAACACCGGUAGCGAAGGCGGCUCUCUGGAACAGUACUGACACUGAGGCGCGAAAGCUAGGGGAGCAAACAGG
rnacentral:rRNA from 1 species